rnacentral:rRNA from 1 species
UACGGGGGGGCAAGCGUUGUUCGGAAUUACUGGGCGUAAAGGGCUCGUAGGUGGCCAACUAAGUCAGACGUGAAAUCCCUCAGCUUAACUGGGGAACUGCGUCUGAUACUGGAUGGCUUGAGUUUGGGAGAGGGAUGCGGAAUUCCAGGUGUAGCGGUGAAAUGCGUAGAGAUCAGGAAGAACAUCGGUGGCGAAGGCGCUCUGCUGGACCAUAACUGACACUCAGGGACGAAAGCUAGGGGAGCGAAUGGG